AGGUUCUACACAUGACGCCUUCGUGUGGGCCAACUCUGAGCUGAAACAGCGGUUUCAGGAAGGGGAGUUUGGGGACUUCCUGCUUGUUGGUGACAGUGGGUAUCCCCUUGAGCCCCAUCUCAUGGUGCCAGUGAGCAACCCCUCCACUGAAGCGGAGAACCGCUACAACAGGGGGCAUGCCCAAACGAGGGUGAUUGUUGAGCAGACGAUUGGGAUGUUGAAGAGUCGCUUUAGGUGUCUGCACUCUUCUGGGGGAACACUGCAAUAUGCACCCAUCAAGUGUGCAAAAAUUGCAAAUUCAUGCAUGCUACUGCACAAUCGCUGCAUCAAGCGUCGUAUUCCUAUUCCUUCUGAUCUUCCACCAGUAGACAACGAGGAAGUGCCCCAGGCUGCCGUCAUCCGUGCUGUGCAGAGAGGGCAGCGAGGACUUGGCAGAGCUGUGCAGCAGGAGAUUAUACAGCAUUUUUACCAGCCAUGAAGAGUUCCAUAGCAAGAGCUACAAACUCCUGCAGAGAGGCCAUCAUGCCUCUCUGUGCUGCUGCCAUGUUCUCCAGAACCUGCUGCUGCGUUGCAGCCAUCUGCUCAAUGGCCUGCACCAACCUCUGCAGUGCCUCCCCU